rnacentral:tRNA from 1 species
GUCUCGGUGGCGCAAUUGGUAAGCUUGCCCUACAUCAAAUUCACCCAAUCACUCAGUUACUAAUUCAUCAUAAAGGUUAGCGCGUACGACUGUUAAUCGUGAGGUUGAGAGUUCGAUCCUCUCCCGGGACG